rnacentral:rRNA from 1 species
CUUAGCUCGUACACGAGUUAUCUCGAACCUUCGGGGAACGAUAACGGCGUCGAGCGGCGGACGGGUGAGUAAUGCCUAGGAAAUUGCCCUGAUGUGGGGGAUAACCAUUGGAAACGAUGGCUAAUACCGCAUGAUGCCUACGGGCCAAAGAGGGGGACCUUCGGGCCUCUCGCGUCAGGAUAUGCCUAGGUGGGAUUAGCUAGUUGGUGAGGUAAGGGCUCACCAAGGCGAUCGAUCCCUAGCUGGUCUGAGAGGAUGAUCAGCCACCACUGGAACUGAGACACGGUCCAGACUCCUACGGGAGGCAGCAGUGGGGAAUAUUGCACCAAUGGGCGCAAGCCUGAUGCAGCCAUGCCGCGUGUAUGAAGAAGGCCUUCGGGUUGUAAAGUACUUUCAGUCGUGAGGAAGGUGGUGUAGUUAAUAGCUGCAUUAUUUGACGUUAGCGACAGAAGAAGCACCGGCUAACUCCGUGCCAGCAGCCGCGGUAAUACGGAGGGUGCGAGCGUUAAUCGGAAUUACUGGGCGUAAAGCGCAUGCAGGUGGUUUGUUAAGUCAGAUGUGAAAGCCCGGGGCUCAACCUCGGAAUAGCAUUUGAAACUGGCAGACUAGAGUACUGUAGAGGGGGGUAGAAUUUCAGGUGUAGCGGUGAAAUGCGUAGAGAUCUGAAGGAAUACCGGUGGCGAAGGCGGCCCCCUGGACAGAUACUGACACUCAGAUGCGAAAGCGUGGGGAGCAAACAGGAUUAGAUACCCUGGUAGUCCACGCCGUAAACGAUGUCUACUUGGAGGUUGUGGCCUUGAGCCGUGGCUUUCGGAGCUAACGCGUUAAGUAGACCGCCUGGGGAGUACGGUCGCAAGAUUAAAACUCAAAUGAAUUGACGGGGGCCCGCACAAGCGGUGGAGCAUGUGGUUUAAUUCGAUGCAACGCGAAGAACCUUACCUACUCUUGACAUCCAGAGAACUUUCCAGAGAUGGAUUGGUGCCUUCGGGAACUCUGAGACAGGUGCUGCAUGGCUGUCGUCAGCUCGUGUUGUGAAAUGUUGGGUUAAGUCCCGCAACGAGCGCAACCCUUAUCCUUGUUUGCCAGCGAGUAAUGUCGGGAACUCCAGGGAGACUGCCGGUGAUAAACCGGAGGAAGGUGGGGACGACGUCAAGUCAUCAUGGCCCUUACGAGAUAGGGGCCUACACCACGUGGCUACAAUGGCGCAUACAGAGGGCGGCCAACUUGCGAAAGUGAGCGAAUCCCAAAAAGUGCGUCGUAGUCCGGAUUGGAGUCUGCAACUCGACUCCAUGAAUGUCGGACAUCGCUAGUAAUCGUGGAUCAGAAUGCCACUGUUACUACGUAGUCCAAGGG